AACUGUCCGAAAGGGCAGCUAAUUCCGCAUGUGGUCCGAAAGGAAGAAAGGGCGAGAGCUCGCUUGAGGACGAGCCUGCGGCCGAUUAGCUAGUUGGUGAGGUAAAGGCCCACCAAGGCGAUGAUCGGUAGCUGGUCUGAGAGGACGAUCAGCCACACUGGAACUGGAACACGGUCCAGACUCCUACGGGAGGCAGCCGCAAGGAAUAUUGCACAAUGGGGGGAACCCUGAUGCAGCAACGCCGCGUGGGCGAUGAAGGCCUUCGGGUUGUAAAGCCCUUUUCUAGAGGAAGAGACAAGGACGGUACUUUAGGAAUAAGUCUCGGCUAACUACGUGCCAGCAGCCGCGGUAAAACGUAGGAGACGAGCGUUAUCCGGAUUUACUGGGCGUAAAGGGCAAGUAGGCGGUAAGCAAAGUUGGGCGUGACAUCUCUCGGCUUAACUGAGAGGGGUCGUCCAAAACUAGCUAACUAGAGGGCAGGAGAGGGGAGUGGAAUUCCUAGUGUAGCGGUGGAAUGCUUAGAUAUUAGGAAGAACACCAGUGGCGAAGGCGACUCUCUGGCCUGACCCUGACGCUGAGAGGCGAAAGCUAGGGGAGCGAACGGGCUUAGAUACCCCGGUAGUCCUAGCUGUAAACUUUG
rnacentral:rRNA from 1 species